AAGACGAACUUGUCCCUGUAGAAGUUGCGAUAAAAUUCGCCGAAGCUGUGAAGAAAAGCGGAUGGGAAGGCGAAAUUGAAUCGAUUAUAGUUGAAGGUGAAGGUCAUUGCUUUCACUGUGAAAAUCCUCAAGCUGAAAAAUCCAAAGAUUUGAUCAAACGUAUAGUUUCUUUCAUCCAACGUGAUUAACAUUUGUUUUUACAAAUUAUUAUUAUUUGCACUCGUAACGAGUUUCCUCGAGAAACAAU
rnacentral:misc_RNA from 1 species